rnacentral:snoRNA from 1 species
GCCCAGCGGUUGCCGGGUGCUGUUGCUCAGGUACAGCUUUCCAGUCAAUGGCAAUGGGCCAGAGCAAUGCUGUGAUGUAUGCAUGGGGGCUGUUCCUUUUCAGCAGCCUCCAUAGCCCCGGUCACUGGUACAUGG